rnacentral:ncRNA from 1 species
UGUCGGGGACGACCCCGACCAUUUUUCCAAGCCGAUUUUUGGGGACGACCCCG